rnacentral:rRNA from 1 species
CGGCGGGUAGCGUGGGACUAAUACAUGCAAGUCGAGCGGACAGAAGGGAGCUUGCUCCCGGAUGUUAGCGGCGGACGGGUGAGUAACACGUGGGUAACCUGCCUGUAAGACUGGGAUAACUCCGGGAAACCGGAGCUAAUACCGGAUAGUUCCUUGAACCGCAUGGUUCAAGGAUGAAAGACGGUUUCGGCUGUCACUUACAGAUGGACCCGCGGCGCAUUAGCUAGUUGGUGGGGUAAUGGCUCACCAAGGCGACGAUGCGUAGCCGACCUGAGAGGGUGAUCGGCCACACUGGGACUGAGACACGGCCCAGACUCCUACGGGAGGCAGCAGUAGGGAAUCUUCCGCAAUGGACGAAAGUCUGACGGAGCAACGCCGCGUGAGUGAUGAAGGUUUUCGGAUCGUAAAGCUCUGUUGUUAGGGAAGAACAAGUGCGAGAGUAACUGCUCGCACCUUGACGGUACCUAACCAGAAAGCCACGGGCUAACUACCGUGCCAGCAGCCGCCGGCUAAAUACGUAGGUGGCAAGCGUUGUCCCGGAAAUUAUUGGGCGUAAAGGGGCUCGCAGGCGGUUUCUUAAGUCUGAUGUGAAAGCCCCCCGGCUCAACCGGGGAGGGUCAUUGGAAACUGGGAAACUUGAGUGCAGAAGAGGAGAGUGGAAUUCCACGUGUAGCGGUGAAAUGCGUAGAGAUGUGGAGGAACACCAGUGGCGAAGGCGACUCUCUGGUCUGUAACUGACGCUGAGGAGCGAAAGCGUGGGGAGCGAACAGGAUUAGAUACCCUGGGUAGUCCACGCCGUAAACGAUGAGUGCUAAGUGUUAGGGGGGUUUCCGCCCCUUAGUGUGCAGCUAACGCAUUAAAGCACUCCGCCCUGGGGAGUACGGUCGCAAGACUGAAACUCAAAGGAAUUUGACGGGGGGCCCGCACAAGCGUGGAGCAUGUGGUUUAAUUAAGCAACGCGGAAGAACCUUACCAGGUCUUGACAUCCUCGUGAACUAGAGAUAGGGCUUUCCCUUCGGGGACAGAGUGACAGGUGGUGCAUGGUUGUCGUCAGCUCGUGUCGUGAGAUGUUGGGUUAAGUCCCGCAACGAGCGCAACCCUUGAUCUUAGUUGCCAGCAUUCAGUUGGGCACUCUAAGGUGACUGCCGGUGACAAACCGGAGGAAGGUGGGGAUGACGUCAAAUCAUCAUGCCCCUUAUGACCUGGGCUACACACGUGCUACAAUGGACAGAACAAAGGGCUGCAAGACCGCAAGGUUUAGCCAAUCCCAUAAAUCUGUUCUCAGUUCGGAUCGCAGUCUGCAACUCGACUGCGUGAAGCUGGAAUCGCUAGUAAUCGCGGAUCAGCAUGCCGCGGUGAAUACGUUCCCGGGCCUUGUACACACCGCCCGUCACACCACGAGAGUUUGCAACACCCGAAGUCGGUGAGGUAACCUUUAUGGAGCCAGCCGCCCGUAUGGGGGGCCCUAAUGGG